AUUUUCAAUCCAUUUUGCAACUGAUGAUGAACCUUUUUUUAACAAAUAAGUUUACAUAUUAAGUUUGAUAGAACAAUUAAAUGGCUAUCUAACAUCCAGUAUUUAUGGACAGGGUAUUCAAAGGACUUGGCUACAUAUCUCAAAUACUGUAGGGAUGUUGUCUUUGCUGGAUCAGAACCAUCUUAUGGGAAUCACGAGGAAGAAAAAAUGAUAGAAUACCUAUGGAGAUUUUAUCAGAAUGAAGAGGAUACAAAACCAUCAGAAAAUGUAGAGCAGUCAAAUACUUCUUUUAACCAACCGAGGUCGAGGGAUAAAGGAUGCAUUGGCAGGACAUCCAAGGAGGAAAAGAUUAGAAAAAAAGGUUUUAAAAAACUCUUUCCUGAUGAUGACACCAGCCUUGAAGAUGACUUGCCUGGAAGGGUGAGCAAUAACAAAUCCCAUGAGAGGUUGUCAGACAGUCCCAAGAGCACAGUUCAGGAAAAUCUCAUGUCAAGGAAGCCAUUAGACAGAUGAAAUUAGAGAUGGAGGAUAACAGAUUUUAUUAUAUUCCGCCUAGUGUCAAGCGUAAAAGACUUGAUUAUAUUCACUAUGUGAGGAAGAGGGAUGAAGGUGCCCUGACUUAUGUUGCUCGUGCUGAUUAUUACAUUUUGCUUCGGGCUUGUGCCAGGAUUGCACAAGUUGACAUUAGGACUUUGCAUAUUGGUGUGUUGAGACUUGAGAGAAGACUUGCUUGGUUGGAGAAACGGGUUGAUCAAUGCUUACAUUCGAAACCAACCAGCCUUUCUUGUCAGUUUUGUAGUGAUAGCCACGGAAAAUGGAUCUGAUGGUCUUCCUGGACUAUCAAAUUUGAAUAUUUGA